rnacentral:rRNA from 1 species
UAUAGAACAGAGAGUUUAACUGGGGUAGUUUUUUUGUAAAAUCUGAGGUUGUAAAAGGCAUGUAAAGUGGGGUUAGGUCCUUUAGAUAAGGAUAAUUUGAGUGAGUUACUUUAGGGAUAACAGCGUAAUAGUCCUAGGGAGAUCGUAUCUAUGGGAUUGAUUGCGACCUCGAUGUUGAAUUAAAAGAUCAGUGUAGAGCAGGAGCUACAGGGUGAGGGUUUGUUCAACCUUUAAAUUUUUACAUGAUCUG